AGGUUCUCCUGGAAGGUGAACUGGAUAGUGGGGAAGGGAGCACCAAAGAUCAGAGCCAGAGGAGGAUCAGUCCUGCUGUGCUGCUGCUUUUGGCUUUACCAGGGGUUCCAGGUCGAGGAGCUGACUCAACAGAAAACCAACACCAAAGUAAAUCCAAAACRAGCCAGAAACCCCACCAAAGCUGAGCAGAACAAUUCAAGCUCCAUCAAUCCAGCCCAGAGAGCCGUGGAAACUUCUUUUCCCUCCCAAAUAAAAGUGUGUGGGAAUUUGCAUGGCAGUCAGACAGCAAAGGUUCUUCUCAGUUAAAAACACAACUCAUAAAACAAGACAACUACCAGAUUUCCUUCCUUCAGGAGCAUGGGAGCCUCAUGCCCAGUGAGUGACUGCAUUUCCCUGGACACAAAAAAGGAAAACUCACGGUGUGCUCAGGUGAUUGGCUUUUCCUGGGGAAAACAGCUGGAUGUGGACACAUUGCCUUUUAUUUUUUGGGUUAUAAAGGGAGAGAAACUAUCAAAGAUCAGGGGGAAAACCCAAACAAGCACAAGUUCCAAAGCCAGGCUUCCAUGAGCUGCCAGGGGAGCGGGGUCUGUUCUCUGUGUGGUUCCCAACACGGCAGUAAAGCAGAGCACGAGAGACUUGAAAUGCACAAAAAUGAUCAGCUACAGCUACAGUUGUUUAGUUUCCCUUGAAGAAAUAAGUGGAUAAUACAGAUCUGGAAAUCAUAAGGCUGAGAACAUUUUUCUGCAUACUGCAUAACAAAAGAACCCCUUUACAUAAGACAGUAAUAAUGCCCAUUAAUGACUAUAUGGCAGAGUUUAAUCCAUGCAUAUGAUUUAAUAAUCGCAGAAAAAAAAAACAUACAAAGAAAAUAAAACCCCACAUUAAAAAAAAAAACAAAAACAAAAAAACAAACAACCUGCUCAAGCAUAAUCAAAAUUCCUUUUGCAUUGCACUUUAGAAGGAGAUCUGCACCUAGAGCCAGUCUCCAGCAUCCCAAACACACAAGGGCCAACCCCUGUAGCCACAGACAGGUUCAGGUCAUUGACUUGGUGUGACUGUUUCUGUUUCUUGCUCCCAACAGUUUUACAUUGUCCCAGUAAUUCCAUUCCUUUCRUAUUUCUUCUUUUUUUUUUGUACCUAAAACAUAUAUAUGAACUUCUUUGUUAAUGCUCACAGUUAUUAUAAUGGUUAUUAUAAUGGUUUCAAGCAAACAGCUCUUGUUUAAAAAAAAAAAUCUCUCUAAUGUACUGUAAGUAAAUACCAUAAUUUUAGGAUUGGAAGCCGCUUUCUGUCUACUGGGAAAUAAUUUUGAAGCUUACAUAGUUUGCAUUAAUGUCCAAAAGCAAAUAAAGAUUACUGGAAAUAUGUGACUUCUUUUAGAAUAACUUCUGGGUAUGAUGAUGCAUAGGGGGGGUUUCUCUUUUUUUUUUCUUUUUUUUGUUUCUUUUUAUUCUUUAAGGUAAAAAAAGUGUCAGCAUUGCCUAGAGAAGAUGCUGAGAGGAAAAAUGAGCUGGAAGGCACAUCUGCAGCCCUAGAUCACAUUUUCACUUGCUUGAGUGUGUCAGAGUAUCCGACACUGCGACGUUGGACUCUCCUUGGGCACAGAAAUCCUGACUGACAGUUCAGAAUGGAAGCAGGGAAAUACUGAAUUCAUGGUAAGAUGGUGCAACAAGAUGAGUUUUCCAGAAAACUGAAAGCUGAAGAUUUCAGAAUGACUUCAACACACAGAUGUCUCUGCUUUGUUCCUCUACCAACUGCUCAUCCAUUUCCUUCCUUUCUCUCUUUCUUUUCCCAAGGCUGAAAUGCUCUUGGGUGAAGUCUCUGAACGCAGAGGGGUCUGUGGGGUCGGGUUGGGGUUCUCAAAACAACCCCUUCUCCUCCCCUCACCCCUGCACACUGCUGCAGCUUCCCUUCUUCCUGUGUCCAGGGCAGGAAAUGGACUUGGUUCACUCUAAUGAAAAAAAAAAAAUCAACUUGGGAAAGCACUCUGAACUUCUCCUGCACCCACGGGACGGGAUGGAACCGCGAGGGCUUCCGAGAUGGCUGGAAAACUGCUCCUGACAUGGCAUCAUCACCACUGAGGGGCUUCUGCACAAAGAAUCCCAAAACCUAUAAAGUCAUUAAAAAUUGUGCAUCGAAGGUUUGUUUUUUGUUGUGGUUUUUUUUUUUUUCUUUU